rfam:Salmo salar isolate Sally breed double haploid chromosome ssa16, whole genome shotgun sequence.
UACUCGCUAUCUGUAAGUCGCUCUGGAUAAGAGCAUCUGCUAAAUGACUCACA